ACUAAUAUGCUUUCAAAACAGAUCUCAUUCUCAUCUCUCUCUCUCUCUUCUCGGCGCACCAUCUAAUCUCUUCCGGCGUCCAAUUUCUGGUAACACCUCGUGUGUUCGAUGAGCCUUGCCUUCACUGGAUCUUCGUUUGCCUCUGCGAGUGAGUCAACCUUUGUUUUCACUGCUACGCCUUCUACGGUUUUUCUACUCGUUUGUCUCAGUAAUUUUUCAAAUUUCGUUUGAGAAAUUGAAGUAUUCGCUACUGGAGAGGACCUCUGGCAUCGCCUGCCAUCCUCGCGGCCGAACUGGAGCGUCGAUCUCCGACGUCGAGGACUGCUAUACCAAAAUUGGACCAAAUUGGAUUGCUUCGAUUUCAGAAAUGGCUAUCGCUGUUACUUCUUCUUCGUCUUGUACUGCAAUCUCUGCUCGAACCUUCUCCUCUAACCUCAAAGAACUGUGCCUUUUGAGUCACUUCAAGCACUUGGAUGCCAUGUUGAUGCAGUUUGCCCCAAAGAGAAAAGCUAGCGAUGUAUGUGCAACUGCAGUCCAUGAUUUUGGAGGUGACCAAACCUACUGUGAGUAAUGAAGACAGAAUCAAUACAAGUUCCUUAUUUGAAAUAAUUCUCAUAUACAUGCUCUCUAUCAAUUCCAAUGUAAACCAUUCACAUAAUAAAUCAAUUAUGCGGGUUGUUGUUUUGUAUUAGCAGAAUUCAUAUAAAUUUAUAUAGGCAUUGAUUCAGUACUUAUGGUAUAAGAGUACUGAUUUUCUUUAUUUAUAUAUUUGUAAACAGCAGUCAUCAUUUGCAGAUGUUUCUAAAGCUUUGCUUAAACUUUAUGCUGGUGCUUAAUUUGAUAGUUAUAUUUAUUUACCAUGCAUGGCUUUAGGAACAUAUAGAUAUAGAUACAGGAUCUCCACCUAAUGAAUCUUGUGCUCAACUUCCGUGGCAAACAUAUUUAGUAAUGGACCUGCAGUUCAGCUUAGUUCAAAAUUUAUCGAUUGAGGAGGCAAGUGAAUGCGAACCGUUCUCGAUGAUUGGGUGACAACGGAGGCAGUUGGCUCUCAAGCUCGUGCUAUUCUAAAUCAAGGUCUUCUCCAAUCUUAUAUGUUGCUCUUAUUGUCGUGGGAGCAUUGCUUAUUCUUGCCUAUUCACACAGUGGCAAAGGUGGACUUGGUAACAUUAGAAGGGCUACUAGCAGGGUUCAAGGCAAG